CAGCUAAUAAAUAAAAUCAACCUACUAAGGCCCAAGGGUUUGGGGAAGUCCGCCGUCCAAAGCCCAAAACAACCGCAUGCACUGUGCUGCAGGUUAAGCUUUCGAUGGCCCAUUGAAAGAAAAUAAGAUCACCUUUCUGGCUAUGAGAUUCACGGCCCAUAUUAUUUGUGGACCUUACAAGGUCUGUCGUGUCUUUAUCGCAAACAACUCUGUCGGGCCGGUAGAAAGCUGUCCAGUCAAGCCUCGGGCUCGUGCUGCAAGGGAAUCGGACAUGCUUUAUUAUUUUUGUAUAUCUUGGUAUUAUUUAGUUGCUAUUUGGAUGGGGGUCUGUCUAUUCAUGUGGCGACAGAUUUUUCAAAUAGAAAUCUGUCAAAUUUUUGACAAAUCUAAAGCUAAACUUGUAACACAAAAAAAAUAACAGUUUUGCAAUAAAAAAAUAUGUCAGAUUUUACAAAACCCGUUAGUACUAGCAUAAAAUAUCCAAAACCCAACAACAGUCAACUACAACUACAUCGUCGCAUAAAGUUAGUCUCAUUUACAUAGAACUUCAGAGGCAUAAGGAAAACCUAUCCUUGAAACCCCAGUUUAAAAGCUAAAUUGUGGCAAGUACACAAAAUAGAGAGAGAGAGAGAGCGCAAACACACACCCACACAUAGACACACACCCACACACUCACACUCUGCUUUCCAGUAGCAACAGCAAGCACCGAAAAGACCCUAAACCACACACAACCAAACACAAACAGACACAAACAAAGAGAGAGAGAGAGAAAAUAAAAUCACAAAGAGAAAGAAAUGCACAAACAAAAACACCAAAAAUAGAAAAGCACCCGCAGAGACUAAAAAAUAUACACUUCAAAUAUUAGGCAUAACCAAAAAACAACAAAAAAAGCAAAACACACAAAAUCUCCACACCCAAACCUACAAACACACACAAAAUCACCAACACACACAUACACAGAUCCACAAACACACACACACACACACACACAUCCACCCACACAGUCACAGAGAGAGAGAGAGACCCACAAACACACACAUACACAGACCUAAAAAAACAGAGAAAAAACCAAACACACACAGAUAGAAAGAGACAAAAAAAUGCACAAAACAAAAAAAACUAAAAAUAACCUAAGGCAUGAUCACAUAGCACUUGCAAGCAACCGUCAGAUAUAAAACAAAAAUUAACCGAAACAACUCAAAUUCCAAGUCAAAAACAACCUAGAGAAAACUAAAUAACACACACAGAGACAAAUAGAGAGAAAGAGAGAAACCACACAAACGCUCACACACAGACCCAAACAAACACACACACACUAAAGCAUUCAAUUUUUUAUUUAUUUAUGUGAUGGAUGUCGUCUACAUCGUUUAUUUGAAGUAUCUUCAAUUCCUUGACUUCUUGUUGCAUUGUUUGCAGCCAUGUCUUUGGAGAAUUCAAAUAACAAGGGCAAGGCUGUGGUCAAGGAGGAGGAGGUCUCUCCGGUGACGCCAGUGGAGCCGAAACCCUUUGCUAUCAUGUCUAAUCAGGACGUCAAGGCGGAGAAGGAGGAUGUCUCUCUGCCGAUGCUGGAGACCGCAGCUCCUCAUCAUCACCAGACGCCGCAGUCGAUUGAUGUCUCUGACAUUGACGACGACAACAACAACGACGUCCUCGGGGGGACAAGCGGCGUCCAGGAUGUGGGGUCGUCGUUGGCGGCGGCGGCCGCCGCCCACAUGAUGCAACAAGCAGCCAUGCAGUGGGGCACAGUUGAUAGCCUAAAAUAGCUUGAAAAAAAUUAUACCGCUAUUUGCGUUCAUACACAAUUUUACCACUAAAGUACGCUAAUUAUGGUUUAUAAAAUGCUAAACACUUUGGCCUUAGCUCGCUAUUUAAAACAUGGCCACACACAGAGAGAGACCCACAAACACACAUACACAGACCAAAAAAACAGAGAAAAAACAAAACACACACAGACAGAAAGAGACAAAAAAAAUGCACAAAACAAAAAAACUAAAAAUAACCUAAGGCAUGAUCACAUAGAACUUGCAAGCAACCGUCAGAAUAAAACAAAAAAUAACCGAAACAACUCAAAUUCCAAGUCAAAAACAACCUAUAGAAAAAACUAAAUAACAAACACAGAGACAAAUAGAGAGAAAGAGAGAAACCACACAAAUGCUCACACAGACCCAAACAAACACACACACUAAAGCAUUCAAUUUUUUAUUUAUUUAUGUGAUGGAUGUCGUCUACAUCGUUUAUUUGAAGUAUCUUCAAUUCCUUGACUUCUUGUUGCAUUGUUUGCAGCCAUGUCUUUGGAGAAUUCAAAUAACAAGGGCAAGGUUGUGGUCAAGGAGGAGGAGGUCUCUCCGGUGACGCCAGUGGAGCCGAAACCCUUUGCUGUCAUGUCUAAUCAGGACGUCAAGGCGGAGAAGGAGGAUGUCUCUCUGCCGAUGCUGGAGACCGCAGCUCCUCAUCAUCACCAGACGCCGCAGUCGAUUGAUGUCUCUGACAUUGACGACGACAACAACAACGACGUCCUCGGGGGGACAAGCGGCGUCCAGGAUGUGGGGUCGUCGUUGGCGGCGGCGGCCGCCGCCCACAUGAUGCAACAAGCAGCCAUGCAGUGGGGCACAGUUGAUAGCCUAAAAUAGCUUGAAAAAAAUUAUACCGCUAUUUGCGUUCAUACACAAUUUUACCACCAAAGUACGCUAAUUAUGGUUUAUAAAAUGCUAAACACUUUGGCCUUAGCUCGCUAUUUAAAACAUGGCCACACACACAGAGAGAGACCCAAAAACACACAUACACAGACUAAAAAAACAGAGAAAAAACAAAACACACACAGACAGAAAGAGACAAAAACAAUGCACAAAACAAAAAAAAAACUAAAAAUAAUCUAAGGCAUGAUCACAUAGAACUUGCAAGCAACCGUCAGAAUAAAACAAAAAAUAACCGAAACAACUCAAAUUCCAAGUCAAAAACAACCUAUAGAAAAAACUAAAUAACAAACACAGAGACAAAUAGAGAGAAAGAGAGAAACCACACAAACGCUCACACACAGACCCAAACAAACACACACACACAAUAAAACAAACACAAACAGAGACACACUCACACUCACACAGAAUGGCCUACCACAUCCAAAAAAAAUGAAAGCUAAAUUGUGCCUACACACAAAAUCACCAACAACAGAAAUACAGAAAUGCUAGAAAAAAAAUGAAAAUAGAAAGGAAAAUAAAAAAACAAAACCACACAUCACCACAAUGCACCCAGGCACAAAAACUUGCAUUGCAUUAUAGGCAUCUGUUCUAACUUCUGUAAUCUUCUCCGACGAUCCUGACCAAACCAUAUUUAGAGCUUGAGAGCUAGCUCGAUCAUUUCUCUAGCAUGAAUGUGUGUCAAUUUCCAAUUCCGUGCAUACUCUCUUAGGCCAGUCUCAAUGCAUGUUUCAUGAGAGUGUCAUGCACAUUAAAUAGUGUGCCACAUAAGCAAAAAUGCUGACUUGGCAGGGUCAUGAAAUGAAGGAGUUUCAUCAGAUGAGAGAGGAGUUUCAUCCCCAUGAAACUCCUAUGGCUCGGUUACCUAGUUUGUAGUCUUGAUAAUUGUGUCAUGAAACUAUGCAUUGAGACUGGCCUUAUGAUCAAUUAAAUACUCCUACUCAUGAAGGUGUUGUUAAUUAACACAAAGAAAGGAGCUGAAAUUAAUCCUAGCCAGUAACAAGCAUAGAGUCUGUUCUUAUUUCCUGCUUCUGUCAGGCACCCAAAUGCACUGGUUAUCUCAUACUGUCAAAAAUAUUCAGUAGGAAGCGCUGCAUCUGCAUGUGGUGGAGAUCAAUCGAACACAACAAUCAUAGGUUUUCGUUGGAACAUGCACACAUUACAGACUGCAGAAAAUGCUCUUACAGCUCCAACACACAAUUUUGGUCAAGAACCGAACAUUCAAUCGCUGCCUCCAAAUAGCUAGUUGCAAACAAAGGUUGGAUUCCAUCACUAAAAAGAGAGCGCGCG
rnacentral:lncRNA from 1 species